AUGCAGUACUGGUCCAUUGAGGGGGCGCAGGAGGUGCUCGGCGACAAGGUGUGCGUCGACCGGCUCGAUAGCCGUACGCUGGAGCGCGGCCACACCAAGACCUUCGCCUGCUGGGUCUGGGUGUGGGACAUGGCCUUCAUCCCCACCAGGCACACCUACUAGAAGCUCCCGCGGGGUGCCGGUCGGGUGGAGGAGAUGGUUGGCUUCUCCCCGCCAGACUGUAGGGUGGCGCCUCCUUCGGGCGCGACGCGCUUCGACAUGCUCAUCCACGUGGACCUCAUCGAAGACUGG
rnacentral:rRNA from 1 species